ensembl:lncRNA
AUAGCAACCAAAUAAGGAUGUGGUAGCAGGGAAGGUCCAAGCUGAUAAGGAAGCAGGUCAGAAGCAGCAGGAUCGCAAAGAAAUUUUAAUGAUGACAGGAUAGCAGCUGCAUUUCUGAGUAAAAGGGAUCUGUUGACGCCAGCUGAAGCGAGUGGUCCAAUCAACUGUGGAAGAGCAACGAAUGCAAGGAGAAUGGAUUCUCAUGGGAACGUAGCUGACUGGAAGGCAAUGGAACAUCAUCUAGAAGACCAAGGAGGACACAUCUUUGUGCUUGGGCUGUGCUUUGGAUCUUCCACAAGAAACUCACCCUAGCAGAUCUUACCAAUGCUUUAAACUCUAAAGCAUCAGGGCAGGGAAUGAAUUAAACAAUUAAAAUUCAAGCCAUC